GAUCCUGGCUCAGGACGAACGCUGGCGGCGUGCCUAACACAUGCAAGUCGAACGGAACUCUUUGGAACAAGGCUUCGGCCAAGGGAAACUGAGUUUAGUGGCGAACGGGUGAGUAACGCGUGAACGAUCUGCCUUUCAGAGGGGGACAACAGUUGGAAACGACUGCUAAUACCGCAUAAUGUACCGAGAGGGCAUCCUCAUGGUACCAAAGAUUUAUCGCUGAGAGAUGAGUUCGCGUCUGAUUAG
rnacentral:rRNA from 1 species